rnacentral:rRNA from 1 species
GAUGAACGCUGGCGGCGUGCCUAACACAUGCAAGUCGAGCGAACAGACGAGGAGCUUGCUCCUCUGACGUUAGCGGCGGACGGGUGAGUAACACGUGGAUAACCUACCUAUAAGACUGGGAUAACUUCGGGAAACCGGAGCUAAUACCGGAUAAUAUAUUGAACCGCAUGGUUCAAUAGUGAAAGACGGUUUUGCUGUCACUUAUAGAUGGAUCCGCGCCGCAUUAGCUAGUUGGUAAGGUAACGGCUUACCAAGGCGACGAUGCGUAGCCGACCUGAGAGGGUGAUCGGCCACACUGGAACUGAGACACGGUCCAGACUCCUACGGGAGGCAGCAGUAGGGAAUAUUCCGCAAUGGGCGAAAGCCUGACGGAGCAACGCCGCGUGAGUGAUGAAGGUCUUCGGAUCGUAAAACUCUGUUAUUAGGGAAGAACAAAUGUGUAAGUAAAUAUGCACGUCUUGACGGUACCUAAUCAGAAAGCCACGGCUAACUACGUG